GGCUAAUUUUUGUGUUUGUAGUAGAGUCAGGGUUUCACCAUGUUGGCCAGGCAGGUCUCAAACUCCUGGCCUCAGGUAAUGCAUCUGCAUCAGCCUCCCAGAAUGUUGAGAUUACAGGCGUGAGCCACCGUGCCUGGCACACUGGGGUCUUCCUUUCACAUUAGAGGCUCUCUUCUCUUUGUCCAAAAUCCAUAGCCCAACUCCUUGGACCUGUUGGAAUAUUUCACAGGAGAUUGUUGUUUUGACUCCUUUUAUUAUUUCCCCUUGGGCAGAAAUUGUGCGACCAAAGUGAUAACAUAAUAAUUUAUUUGAGCAUUUAUAUACCAGGCUCAGAGUUGGCAAAUUUAAUUCUUACCUCAACUCUAUUUACCAAGUACUACUACUAUUGACCUUCUCUGAGGAAACUGAGGCACAGAAAGGCCAAGUAACUUGGCCAGAGUCACAUAGCCAGUCUGUGGCAAAGCUGAGGUCCUUGGUUCUAGAGCCCACGCUCCUAAUCACCUCUAAUCCAUCUCCUUAUUUGGAACCUGGGGGACAAUUUGCUCUCUGUUCUUUAUAGAAAACAACCACAACAUUGUAACACCAGUUACUAAAUGCCAGACACUGUUCUGAACACAUUAUCUGUAUAGAUUCCUUUAAUCCCUAACGGGCCUAUGAAGUAGGUACCAUAUUUAGUCCUAUUUUACAAAGAACCUUCUAGAGGUUCAACUUACCCAAGAUCACCAGAUAGUGACAGCAGUGUCCGAAUUUCAAAUCUAGGCUGGGUGUGAUGCCUCACGCCUGUAAUACCAGUACUUUGGGAGGCCAAGGCAGGAGGAUCGCUUGAGCCCAGGAGUUCUAGACCAGUCUGGGCAACAUAGUAAGACCUCCAUCUCUACAAAAAAUUUAAAAAUUAGCUGGGCGUCGUGGCAUCUGCCUGUGAUCCAAGCAACUCAGGAGGCUGAAGCAGGAGGAUUGCUUGAGCCCAGGAGGUCAAGGCUGCAGUGAGCCAUGAUGGUGCCACCUCCAGCCUGGAUGACAGUUCGAGACCCUGCCUUAAAAAAAAUGAAAAAAGAAUUUAAAAUUUAGGUUUUCUGUCCCUGGAGAUCUCACUUUCAUUUUCCUUUCUGGGCCUUAGGAGCAGAGUGGAGUUUAUUGCCCUCAUCAGUUCAUGGCCCACCACCCUCCUCAGCCUGGGCAAAGCCUGGCUUAUUUUAUUUCAUUAUUUUCUUUUUGUUUUUGAGACAGAGUUUCUCUGUCACCCAAGUUGGAGUGCAGUGGCGCUAUCUCGGCUCACUGCAAACUCCACCUCCUGGGUUCAGGUGAUUCUCCCACCUCAGCCUCCCAAGUAGCUGGGAUCGCAGGCACGCACCACCAUGCCUGGCUAAUUUUUGUAUUUUUUGUAGAGACAGAGUUUCACCAUGUUGCUCAGGCUGGUCUCUAACUCCUGGGCUCAAGCAAUCCUCCUGCCUUGGCCUCCCAAAGUGCUGGGAUUCUAGGCAUGUGCCACUGCGCCUGACCUAUUUCAUUAUUUUCUCCAGUUACUCCCAACCCCUAGUCCCUCUCCCCUCCCCCUCCUAGGCCCUCACUAGGGUGUUCAUCUGUCUUUGAAUCUGCAUGUGUCUGUAUAAA
rnacentral:lncRNA from 1 species